GAGUGGCAGAGUGGUUAGAGCGUCCGCCUCUGAUACGGAUAGUCGUGGGUUCGAUCCCCGGCUGAGGCA